AAGUCGAGGGGUAACAGGGAGCUUGCUCCGCUAACGACCGGCGAACGGGUGAGUAACGCGUACCCAAUCUACCUUUAACAGAAGGAUAGCCCCGGGAAACUGGGAUUAAUACUUCAUAAUAUAUAUUUAAGGCAUCUUAACUAUAUCAAAGCUCAGGCGGUUAGAGAUGAGGGUGCGUUCCAUUAGAUAGUUGGUGAGGUAACGGCUCACCAAGUCAACGAUGGAUAGCUGGUCUGAGAGGAUGAUCAGCCACAUGGGCACUGAGACACGGGCCCAACUCCUACGGGAGGCAGCAGUAAGGAAUAUUGGACAAUGGACGCAAGUCUGAUCCAGCCAUCCCGCGUGCAGGAUGACGGCCCUCUGGGUUGUAAACUGCUUUUAUUAGAGAAGAAACUCCGAGAUUUAUCUCGGUAUGACGGUACCUAAUGAAUAAGCACCGGCUAACUCCGUGCCAGCAGCCGCGGUAAUACGGAGGGUGCAAGCGUUAUCCGGAUUUACUGGGUUUAAAGGGUGCGCANGCGG
rnacentral:rRNA from 1 species